ACGAACGCUGGCGGCGUGCUUAACACAUGCAAGUCGAACGGUGAAGCGCCUUCCUUUUUGGUGGGUGUGGAUGAGUGGCGAACGGGUGAGUAACACGUGAGUAACCUGCCCCCUUCUUCUGGAUAACCGCAUGAAAGUGUGGCUAAUACGGGAUAUUCUGGGUCUGUCGCAUGAUGGGUCUGGGAAAGAUAUUGUUUCGGUGGGGGAUGGGCUCGCGGCCUAUCAGCUUGUUGGUGGGGUGAUGGCCUACCAAGGCGGUGACGGGUAGCCGGCCUGAGAGGGUGGACGGUCACACUGGGACUGAGACACGGCCCAGACUCCUACGGGAGGCAGCAGUGGGGAAUAUUGCACAAUGGGCGCAAGCCCGAUGCAGCGACGCCGCGUGAGGGAUGGAGGCCUUCGGGUUGUGAACCUCUUUCGCCAGUGAAGCAGGCCUGCCUCGUUUGUGGGUGGGUUGACGGUAGCUGGAUAAGAAGCGCCGGCUAACUACGUG
rnacentral:rRNA from 1 species